rnacentral:rRNA from 2 species
UGUGAAGAAGGCCUUCGGGUUGUAAAGCACUUUUGUCCGGAAAGAAAACUUCGUCCCUAAUAUGGAUGGAGGAUGACGGUACCGGAAGAAUAAGCACCGGCUAACUACGUGCCAGCAGCCGCGGUAAUACGUAGGGUGCGAGCGUUAAUCGGAAUUACUGGGCGUAAAGCGUGCGCAGGCGGUCUGUUAAGACCGAUGUGAAAUCCCCGGGCUUAACCUGGGAACUGCAUUGGUGACUGGCAGGCUUUGAGUGUGGCAAAGGGGGGUAGAAUUCCACGUGUAGCAGUGAAAUGCGUAAAGAUGUGGAGGAAUACCGAUGGCGAAGGCAGCCCCCUGGGCCAACACUGACGCUCAUGCACGAAAGCGUGGGGAGCAAACAGGAUUAGAUACCCUGGUAGUCCACGCCCUAAACGAUGUCAACUAGUUGUUGGGGAUUCAUUUCCUUAGUAACGUAGCUAACGCGUGAAGUUGACCGCCUGGGGAGUACGGUCGCAAGAUUAAAACUCAAAGGAAUUGACGGGGACCCGCACAAGCGGUGGAUGAUGUGGAUUAAUUCGAUGCAACGCGAAAAACCUUACCUACCCUUGACAUGGUCGGAACCC